AUGGGUUUUCCUUUCGAAUAUGUGGAACGAGCGAUGGCUUAUCCAAGUUUUGAUAAGAAGACAGUUUCUAAAGCAGCUCUAAAUAAAAGAAAAAAGGAAACGGAUUUCAAAGGUCCAAAAUGUUUGGAAUCUGAGAAAGAUGAGUUGGAUGGUGAUCUGCCUGAACUAGUUAUUGAUGAAAAGGAAAAAGCUUUGCUGAAAGAAAUUCAAAAAUUCGAAUUGGAAGUUAAAAAAGGAACAGCAAAUAAAUAUUCAUCAUCAUCACAGUUUUCUUCUUCAAAUUCGGAUGCUUGUGAUUCAGUUGGUGAUACUUCGGAUACUGGUGCGGUUGAUGCUAUGCUCAAGAAUGAUAAGGAUGCUGCUGAUAUUGCCUGGAAACGGUUCAAAAUAAUGCGCCAAUGUUGUUGUUCGGGGUCGGACUGUUUUUCGGACAAGGAUCUCGACGCAGUAUCAGCGUCUUCGUCUUCCCAUCUUAUUUCCGAAGAGGAUGCCGAGAUCGGAGAGAAAAAGGAGCCAUCAUCUGCACCAACUACUGAAGAGACAGGGACGGAGAAUGAAGAGGAAGAUGAUAAAGAGAAGACUGAUAAAGAGAAAUUAGACGCAGAGGAAGAGAAAGAAUUGGCUGAAAAACGUCUUGAAAGAGAGCAAAAACUCUAUAAAGAUUUGAAAUCUUCGUCUGAUGACACGUCAUCAUCUAUUGAUGAUAAAAUGAAUUUUGACGAUGAGAUUGAAUAUUUGGAAGAGAUGUUGGAUAAAAUAGACAAACAGAAAGACAGAAAAGGACCGAAAGAUGAAACUGAAGACACUGAUGCUACGGGAGAUGAAGAGGAUAGCAUGUUUGAAGAAGUCAAGACGGCGUCCAACAAGUCGGGAGCCGAAAAAUCGUCAGCCGAGCAAACAAGCACUGCAGAAAUUGAAGACUUUCCAACUUCCUAUGCCGCGUUUUCUGAAAAAGACCAAAUACGAAAUGAUGGAAGAACUGGAUCCUGAUGGUCCCCCUGAAAGCAGUUCAUCGACAUCCAAUCAAUUUUGGCUCGUUCAAAGUAUCAGAUCGGGUUGUAUGCGCUCUGCAAAGCUUGCCAGCCAAAAGAAUCCAGAACAUUUGCAAUUGCAGAAGGAUUUAAAUAAACAACGCAAGCUUCUCUUUGAUUUGCUCCCAGAGCUCUCGAAUCCAUCGCAUAUUGCCCGUCUUGUUGAUGUUGGAUAUGAUGACGAUUUCAAAUUCCUAAUUUUUGAGGAUUUCGGAAUGGAUUUUCUGACGCUUUUUGAUGAGUUUGGACCUGUUUUGAAUCCUGCCACACUGUUUCUUAUCAGUUAUUUCACUUUCAAUGCUAUCAAGGAACUUCACUCAUUCGAUAUUGUUCAUUUGGAUAUUCGUCCAUCUUCAUUUAGUGUCAAUCAGCAUCCAUUCAAUAUUAAGAUCACUGAUUAUUCAAGAUGCAUGACGAGAAAACCAGAAAUGAAAGUUCCUGACGAUGCUCGCCCCGACUCGUUUUCUCCGAGAGUUUUCCAUCAAAAAGAUGCACAAUUCGACGAAUUUGUGGACUUUGAGGCUUGGGUUUACACGAUGCUAUUUCUGUGUACUGUUGAGAAGCUUCCAUGGUUCGGAGAUGCGGAGAAUAUGCUCAGACUGAAGGAAGAAUUUUUCAAUGAUCCAUUGAAUUAUCUUUAUGAUGGUUGUGCGGAUUUUGUUCCACUGGUUGCUUGUUUUAUCGCCGACAAAAAGUUGACCUAUGACACUUUCAUGGAGGAAAUGAAUCUGAUAUUUUCGGUGGAUGUCAUGCAAUAUUCUGACAAAGAACAACCAAGACUUUACACAAUGAAAGAACUCGAAGAAGUCAAGAAAACUAGAAGAGCUCCAGAUUUCUACACGAAUAAUGCCAUUGAUAUAGCAGAAAGUCAUUGGCAUGCAGCUGAUGAUUCGGAUCACGAUAAUUUGAGGACAUCGGAUGAGGAGAAUGAACAGAAGAGUGAGACGAAGAAGGAUUCUUGUGAGAGGUCAAGCGCUGAAGUAUCUUCUUCCACCGAACAGACCUCUGCGCCAAUGUCAGAAGCUAGUUCAUCUGAUGGUAGAAAGAAGCCGAAGAACGCUGGAAAAUCAGCUGAGAGGAAGGGGAAACCCGCAGAAAAGAAUCCGUCGAGUGAAAAGGAUGAUGAUGGGGCAACGGAGCCGAUGAGUGGUGUCGAACGACGUUCAACGCCUUCCGAUGUUGUGAAUGAAAAGGGUCGAGUGAAAGGUGAUCCGGAGAAGCAGAAGCAGGAUAGAAAGGAAAACAAAACGGAAGAACAGAACAGUAAAAUAUCCGCGCCACCGAAGCCGAAGCCGGGAAAAGGAAAAAAGGUCAGCCGCGGACUGAUCACACGCGAGUUUUUGCUGGGAAUGAGACAAGAUCUCACUGGACCACAAUCGGCAAUGACAGGCUCAUAUGAUUCCACGUCUGCCACUUCGUUAUCCACGUGGACUUCUUCUACGUGUGCAACUGAUGAAGGAGAAGAGAAGAGAAAGUUUAAGUGGAGUCUGAAGUCAGAAGAGGAUUCUGAAGUUGAGUUUUUCGAAGACUUGGAUCAAGAGGAAAGGGAGCAUUUUAGAAACUAUGAGAAUCUAGUUGCUCUUUCCAUUAAAGAUGAAGUUGCCCUCUCGUCUGGAUCUGAAGUCGAACCACUCUCUGAUAUUGAUUCUGAGGAGAAUCUGGCAAUUAUUGAAAGACUUGAGAAACGAGAGAUGGAAAUUGGUUGGGAAGUGUCGAGUGAGCGGGAGAAGACAACCGGUGAUAGAAGUCCAGAUGAUCAACUCGAUAAAUUGGAAGCAUACGAGAAGGAAAAGAAAGAGAAAGAUUAA
rnacentral:misc_RNA from 1 species